CGUUAGCGGCGGACGGGUGAGUAACACGUGGGUAACCUACCUAUAAGACUGGGAUAACUCCGGGAAACCGGGGCUAAUACCGGAUAACACAUGAAACCGCAUGGUUUCAUGAUGAAAGACGGUUUUGCUGUCACUUAUAGAUGGAUCCGCGCCGAAUUAGCUAGUUGGUAAGGUAACGGCUUACCAAGGCAACGAUGCGUAGCCGACCUGAGAGGGUGAUCGGCCACACUGGAACUGAGACACGGUCCAG
rnacentral:rRNA from 1 species